GAUCCUGACCUGUCCCACUGGGGACAUCACUCUCCGGCUCAGCCGGAUCUCUCACACUGCCCUGGACCUGCCCCACUGGGGCAGACCGCUGAGAAGAAGCCGCCAGAGCGAUCACCUCUCACUUGGAAAGAGGCUCAGCGGGAGUAAUAGAUUAAGCUGGCUGAGGAAAGCUUAUUCUAUUACAUGGUUGCUGGCUGGCAGAGAAUACUCCUGUUCUUGCUGCCAAAACAGAGAGCAGACCAUAUGGGACAGAUGAUGAAGGAGCAAGCAGUGGCCAGAGGGAAUGUCAUCACAAGAGCCUGGAUUGUUUUCUUGUCUCCCUCUGCUGGCCAGAGGAUAUAGAACCCGCUGUGUGCACUGGCAUAGGAGGCUGUUGGAGAAAGAGGUUCAAUCAGUGCUAGGCACAUGUUACUUUUCCUUUUGCCUUGGUGAAACAAUAUGAAAUGUUUGCUUCACGUGCUGGCCCUCAGCACUUGCUGGGGAAAGGAGUGUUCUUGCUGUCUCUGUCUUUGCUAAAUUAAAUGUUAAGUACCUGCAAAUGCAAUGCUAUAUUGAUAGAUUUUCAAUCUGGAAAAAGCACGAUGGCCUUGUACAAUUACAGUAUGCGCCAGCAUACUUAUCUUCAUGAGCUUUGUCACUCUGCGAGGCUAAAACUAGCUGGCUGUAAAAUACCUGGCUUAAUGGAGAUAUCCAUCCUUUAGUGGGUGCACAGCACUAGCCUGAUCUAACAGCUCCUUGUGCAAACAGCAAUGAGGUGAGAAAUGAUGUUUCAUAAACCUAUCAGAAUGGAGGCAGCUUAGUGCCUUUGGAGAUGUAAUAAUUGUCUUCUCAUCCAAGCCUCCCUAUCUGCACGGAGCUCUAAAUCUGACUGGGACACUUUCAUUUAGAUGCUGACUAAUGGCCAAAAAUACACCUGCCACACAGCUGCCUUCCCUGAGAACUCAUUGUUUUAAUGCACUCGCUCAAAAUCCUUGGGACUCCCCCUCUGCUUUUCUGAGGUGCUUUCCUGUCUGAAGGCAUGUCUACACGGCAGGCGGAAACCCACGGCCGACACGGGGCUGAGGCUACGGCGCUAAACAUAGCUGUGUAGUCUUUGGAGCAAGGGCUCUGAAGCCUAAUGAGGGGGCUGGGCUCCAGAGCCUGAGCUGCAGCCUGAGCGUCUACACAACUGUUUUCAGUGCUGUAGCGUGAUCCUGAGUCAACAGACCCAGGCUCUGAGACUUGCUGCUGCGGGUUUCUGCUUGCUGUGUAGACGUACUCAGGGUUUGCUAGGCAGGGCCUCACAUCCUGCUCACUGUCAUCAGGGGAAGAGCCCCUUUGACCUCAGUCCUGUCCCAAGAUCUUUCCAGUUUUCACUUCCAGGAGACAAAUUCAGGGCUUGUGCUGGGAGAAACAGGCUUUGAAGAGUGGGAUAACAAAAAGGGGUAUUGCGUUCUCACCAGCCCUACUCACCCCACCCCCAGUUGCAGCAGUCCCUACUCUCCAGGCCUGGGCUCAGUUAUAGCACAUUGUUAAACUUAUUGAAAACUCAACAUCGUUGAGGAUUACCUGUCUGCUGCCACCUUGUGCCUGCACUUCCAUUCCUUUCUGGAGGACGGUGAGAUACUUCAGUUUCCAUACUGGAUCUCUUCUGGACUCUCUCUAGAACCUUUCUCUGUCUGUGACAAUCUAUUACUGUGGGAAAUCACCACCACACAUUGCUUUUAUUGCCCAAAGAGGAAACGAAAACAGGCCCCAUGUACACAAAGCAUUUGUUAUAACAAGCAAAUAAAUCUCAUGUGGAUCUGUUCUGGAACCCAAGUGUCA